UACGUAGGGGGCUAGCGUUGUCCGGAAUCAUUGGGCGUAAAGCGCGUGUAGGCGGCCCGGUAAGUCCGCUGUGAAAGUCCAGGGCUCAACCCUCGAAUGCCGGUGGAUACUGUCGGGCUAGAGUGCGGAAGAGGCGAGUGGAAUUCCUGGUGUAGCGGUGAAAUGCGCAGAUAUCAGGAGGAACACCAAUUGCGAAGGCAGCUCGCUGGGACGUAACUGACGCUGAGACGCGAAAGCGUGGGGAGCAAACAGG
rnacentral:rRNA from 1 species